rnacentral:rRNA from 1 species
AGUGAACGCUGGCGGCAGGCCUAAUACAUGCAAGUCGAACGGCAGCACAGUAAGAGCUCGCUCUUACGGGUGGCGAGUGGCGGACGGGUGAGGAAUACAUCGGAAUCUACUUUUUCGUGGGGGAUAACGUAGGGAAACUUACGCUAAUACCGCAUACGAUCUACGGGUGAAAUCAGGGGAUCUUCGGACCUUGCGCGAUUGAAUGAGCCGAUGUCGGAUUAGCUAGUUGGCGGGGUAAAGGCCCACCAAGGCGACGAUCCGUAGCUGGUCUGAGAGGAUGAUCGGCCACACUGGAACUGAGACACGGUCCAGACUCCUACGGGAGGCAGCAGUGGGGAAUAUUGGACAAUGGGCGCAAGCCUGAUCCAGCAAUACCGCGUGGGUGAAGAAGGCCUUCGGGUUGUAAAGCCCUUUUGUUGGGAAAGAAAAGCAGCAGAUUAAUACCCCGCUGUUCUGACGGUACCCAAAGAGAAAGCCCCGGCUAACUUCGUG